rnacentral:lncRNA from 1 species
CAAAGACAAUAAACUUGGCACCGCUCUUUCAAGCGAGCUCGUGAUGACCAUCUAUUAGAGCAGUUAUGCACCAAGUCUCAACACACAUUAUCGAAGCAUGAAUGAACGAUGGCUCUUUAAAAUAUCCAAUAUGUACACGUGAAAUAAUACAAAUAAACAAUUAAAAUGCGUCAAACUACGUUCAUAUGAAAUAAAAACAUGCCUUAUGUAAACACAUCACCACAGUGGCUUGUGGAUGCAGUCUGUAGGUGUGGUCUCCUCUCGGCGACUUGGCAUCUCGCCUCUCGGUGUGGCCGCGUGGGAGGCGAUGAUGUUAAAUCUCGAAGUCACAUGGCACCACACACAUCCUGAGGGAUGGCCAUCUAUUUUGGGGAAAAACAACCGUCAAGAUUUAAUUGUUUACCAGUCUAAUUUGGUUAGCGAGUAAUUCGCAAAUUUGUGAGACAGGAUCCAGCGUUCCAUUAGAAUUCAGUCAAAUGUGCAUCUACUACCCAACACCAGUUGUGGCUUUCUUGAAUCAAAUCUAGAACAAAAAGCUCCUGCGUCCUACCCCGUCUUAUGUUUGAUUUUGUUGCUGCUCUACAUGUGCCUUUCAUGAAACUCAUGAGAGCAAAAAAAUAUGUUAAGAUUUUCCAUCCUCAUCACAUAACGGGUAUACAUGGGAAACAGAUAAUCAAUUGGCUUACAGGUAGGAGGAAACAUGCCAUCAGGGUGGGUGGACGUUGGAGGAAUCAGGAAGAAAGGAGCCGAGGAGGGUAGCUGCAUAGAUCGAUGAACUUUACCCAUGGAUUUCGAAGCGCACCAUUGGUGC